rnacentral:rRNA from 1 species
GGAUUAGAUACCCCGGUAGUCCACGCCCUAAACGAUGAUCACUAGCUUUUCGGAGUAUCAACCCUCUGAGAGGCGAAGCUAACGCGUUAAGUGAUCCGCCUGGGAAGUACGGCCGCAAGGCUAAAACUCAAAAGAAUAGACGGGGACUCGCACAAGCAGUGGAUCAUGCGGUUUAAUUCGACGAUAAACGAAGAACCUUACCAGGGUUUGAAACCCAAAUGAAAGCCCAGCGAAAGUUGGGAACUCUCACAAGGACAUUUGGGCAGGUGAUGCAUGGCUGUCGUCAGUUCGUGGUUUGAAUUGUUCCCUUAAGUGGGGUAACGAACGCAACCCUUGUCGUCUGUUAUAUUUGUCAGACGAGACUGUCCUGUUUAACAGGAAGGAAGCGAGGAUGACGCCAAGUCAGCAUGUCCCUUUGACAUCCUGGGCUACACGCAUGAUACAAUCGCCGUUACAAUAGGUCGCGACGGGGAAACCCUGAGCUAAUCCUAAAAGGCGGCGCCAGUUCGGAUUGAGGUCUGCAACUCGACCUCAUGAAGCCGGAAUUGCUAGUAAUCGCAGGUCAGCUAUACUGCGGUGAAUACGUUCUCGAGUCUUGUACUCGGGUCGCCAUGCGAUCGAGUACGCUAGUUGGUGAAAAUCCAACCAAGACCAUUCACAGGGUUUUGAAGCGAAAUACCAGUCUGUUUCCGUGAGGGGGCAGGUGAAGGGGUAAACCUCUUUUGUUAGAGGCUCUAACUUUAAAUAUAGGUUAGAGGUAGCAUUUCUUAGCUUGAAUGUCAGUUAUUAGGCGCUAUACAGAGGCGAUCCUGCGAGUACAGGGAGAAGCUUCUGUGAUAUCAAAAGCUGUAUAGCGUGCAGUGGCAUCGAGAUAAGAGAAAAAUGUGUAUCGGUUACCGUGGGAGAUCUUGCAGGGUCUCUCGGUGUUUGCUAACAUCGAGAGUAUAGAAGUAAGUAAUUAUUCUAAAAGCGAUGCAAGAAGUCAGCAGAGUUCGUAGUACCAAAAGGAAGCCGUUUGUCAGAAAUGAUAAAUUAGCCGAACCUUUUGGGAAGGAACAAAUUUGUAGGGAGAAACUUGAUCCCAAUUAUGUCGCUGGUUUUAUCGAUGGCGAAGGAUCUUUUUCUGUUAGUAUCGGCAAGCACAAAACCUUGAAAAGAGGUUUUGAAAUCAGACCGGAGUUUGAAAUAGAACUGCGGGAUGAUGACCGAGAAAUACUAGAGAGGAUUUUGGUCACGAUAGGGUGUGGCAAGAUCUAUGAUUGCUCGUAUGAGCGUUAUGGUUGGUUUCCGCACGCUAAAUAUAAAGUCACUAGCAGUAAGACAAUGAGGGAUGUGUUAUUUCCUUUUCUCGAUUCUCAUCCUUUACAAGCUAAAAAAGCCGGAUCCUAUAAAAUUUUUAAGGAGAUUGUUUUGAUGGCUUGUGAUAAAAAGCAUCUUAGCGAUGAAGGAUUUAAUAAAAUCGUUCAUCUGAGAGAUGAAUUAAGAAAGAGAGGGAAAAAAGCGAAGACCUACAAAAACCGCGAGAGUGCGGGAAAGCCGCUCGCUCCGUGGUGUGGAAACCUUGACAAGUAAUUGCAAGUGUAUUCUAAUACCGCCCGUCAAGCCAAGGGAGCCGGGAGUACCCAAAGCACCACUUCGGUGGUUCUAAGGUAAGUUCGGUAACAAGGGUUAAGUCGUAACAAGGCACGGCUAGCGGAAGCUGGU